CAGCCGAGGGCCCAAUUUCUUAAAGUGAGC
rnacentral:sRNA from 1 species